CACAGAGUCUCCUCUAGCUGUGGAGGGAGAUGGACCUGGCUGCCGGGGAGCUUGAGAAGGCCGAGGAAUAGGAAGCAAGUGACGGUGAGCUGGGUGAAUCGAAGCGCUUUGUUGAGCGUUGCGGCUUUGAGGAGACAAUCAUCGAGGAACCGAAGAGUUGCCCUUGCGUCCUUCAUUGAGUGAAGUACGUCAUUCGUCGUGGAGGCAAGGAGUUUGUCAUCGUCGAAGGGAAGAUCUUCAAUGGUGCUCUGGACCUCUCGAGGAAAGGAAGAGGAGGAGAGCCAUGAACCUCGGUGCAUGACAACUGCUGUAGCAAUGGAUCUUGCUGCUGUAUUGGCUGCAUCGAGGGCCGCUUGAAGAGCGGUACGUGAGAUGAUUUGUCCCUUGGAAACUAGAGCCAUAAAUGUUGUUUCUUUUCUUCCGGAAUGUCAUCAAUAAAGUCCAUGAAUUUGUUUUAA